rnacentral:rRNA from 1 species
UACGGAGGGUGCAAGCGUUAUCCGGAUUCACUGGGUUUAAAGGGUGCGUAGGAGGGCAGGUAAGUCAGUGGUGAAAUCUCCAAGCUUAACUUGGAAACUGCCGUUGAUACUAUCUGUCUUGAAUACCGUGGAGGUGAGCGGAAUAUGUCAUGUAGCGGUGAAAUGCUUAGAUAUGACAUAGAACACCAAUUGCGAAGGCAGCUCGCUACACGAAUAUUGACUCUGAGGCACGAAAGCGUGGGAAUCAAACAGG